rnacentral:rRNA from 1 species
CCUACGGGUGGCAGCAGUGGGGAAUAUUGGACAAUGGGGGCAACCCUGAUCCAGCCAUGCCGCGUGUGUGAAGAAGGCCCUCGGGUUGUAAAGCACUUUCAGUGAGGAAGAACGCCUGGUGGUUAAUACCCAUCAGGAAAGACAUCACUCACAGAAGAAGCACCGGCUAACUCCGUGCCAGCAGCCGCGGUAAUACGGAGGGUGCGAGCGUUAAUCGGAAUUACUGGGCGUAAAGCGCGCGUAGGUGGCUUGAUAAGCCGGUUGUGAAAGCCCCGGGCUCAACCUGGGAACGGCAUCCGGAACUGUCAAGCUAGAGUGCAGGAGAGGAAGGUAGAAUUCCCGGUGUAGAGGUGAAAUGCGUAGAGAUCGGGAGGAAUACCAGUGGCGAAGGCGGCCUUCUGGACUGACACUGACACUGAGGUGCGAAAGCGUGGGUAGCAAACAGGAUUAGAUACCCUGGUAGUC